rnacentral:rRNA from 1 species
GUGCCAGCCGCCGCGGUAAUACGUAGGGUGCGAGCGUUGUCCGGAAUUAUUGGGCGUAAAGAGCUCGUAGGCGGUGUGUCACGUCGGCCGUGAAAACCUGCAGCUUAACUGUGGGCGUGCGGUCGAUACGGGCAUCACUGGAGUUCGGCAGGGGAGACUGGAAUUCCUGGUGUAGCGGUGAAAUGCGCAGAUAUCAGGAGGAACACCGGUGGCGAAGGCGGGUCUCUGGGCCGAUACUGACGCUGAGGAGCGAAAGCGUGGGGAGCAAACAGGAUUAGAUACCCGUGUAGUCC